AUCAAAGGUCCUCUACAUGCAGAAGCCUGUGGUGACUGCACAUAACUUCACCUGAAGCUGUGAGGAAUGAGACCUAAGCUUGGGGCCUUUAUGGCAGAAUGAUGAAUUCUAUCUUUCCCAGAAUGUUUUCACAUAUAAGCCAACUGAGGACAACUCGUUAUUAAAGAAGUCGGCAGGUGUCCUGUGCUCUGAAACAUAUUAAAUAAAGAACUCAACGGGAUCAUGUUGACUGUAAGCUCCACAAAGGAAUUAAAUAAUGAAGACAGAAGCUCUUCAACAACGACCAUUUCUGAAUUAGUAAAAAUGCCUUGUCAGAAGGUGGAAAGUUCUCUUACAGAUUUUUACUGGAAUCUCUGUUGUGGUAUUUCUGAAAACAUGCAGUCAAUAGUUUUUAGAGACAUAAACUUUCUUGACCCAGGUCUUAUGCAAUAAAAUGAUCAGAAUGACAGGAAGUGAGGAGACAAAAUCUGCCCUUCUCCAUGCAGCCUUAUUGCUCAACAAAACAGCCACUGCAAAAUGGCCUUGUUAUCACUCUAAAGUUUGUUAAAUUGUCUUACCCAUGUCAAUAUUAAUAUAGAAUAGCUGUGGGAAAUACAAAGAAAAGAGUAGAAAAGGGUCCAUUGUAUAUUUUUAGUUAAUGUUUUUCUAAUGGAUCAAGCCUUCCAGCCAUG
ensembl:lncRNA